GCGUCCACUUUGUGGUUCCCGACAGACGAUCGGGAAUCAAACUGAAUACACCGCUCUGCCCAUUCGUGGGCAGCAGCCGGAACAUGUUUGAGACCGUGAUUCAUGGUCGAAAGUGUUCCGGUGGUCAUAGCGAGAGGGAAACGCCCGGUCACAUUCCGAACCCGGAAGCUAAGCCUCUCAGCGCCGAUGGUACUGCAAGGGGGACCUUGUGGGAGAGUAGGACGCCGCCGGAC
rnacentral:rRNA from 1 species